rnacentral:rRNA from 1 species
GAUGAACGCUAGCGGGAGGCCUAACACAUGCAAGCCGAGCGGUAUUUGUUCUUCGGAACAGAGAGAGCGGCGCACGGGUGCGGAACACGUGUGCAACCUGCCUUUAUCUGGGGGAUAGCCUUUCGAAAGGAAGAUUAAUACCCCAUAAUAUAUUGAGUGGCAUCACUUGAUAUUGAAAACUCCGGUGGAUAGAGAUGGGCACGCGCAAGAUUAGAUAGUUGGUGAGGUAACGGCUCACCAAGUCAAUGAUCUUUAGGGGGCCUGAGAGGGUGAUCCCCCACACUGGUACGGAGACACGGACCAGACUCCUACGGGAGGCAGCAGUGAGGAAUAUUGGACAAUGGGUUAGCGCCUGAUCCAGCCAUCCCGCGUGAAGGACGACGGCCCUAUGGGUUGUAAACUUCUUUUGUAUAGGGAUAAACCUACUCUCGUGAGAGUAGCUGAAGGUACUAUACGAAUAAGCACCGGCUAACUCCGUG